UUUUUUGCUUUUCUCCAAGAAUCUGUUGUGUUUGGAUAGAGUCUAGAUAUUGUUCAUCGUUUACACAUGUAGUCUUCUCCUCUACCACCGUCACUUUCGUUACUUUACUUCCUCCAUGUAACAAUCCGCCGCCUACCUUCUUAUAAUUCCUCUGUUGCUUCAUCUACUGCUUAUUUGCUUAAUUUUCAGACGGUUCAAUUUUUUUCAGUUCUAUCCACCAAAUUGAUCUACUUUCCACCACUGGUUGCCCAAAUCGACUCUUUUUGUACCCAACCGAUCAUCAACCAUUCGGGGUCGACAUCCUACCAGCAGAGACGAGUCCGACGAUCGCCCCCUGAUGCCUACUUACAAGCUCCUCCCAAGAAGGGAAUUCCUUUCCAUCACAAAAUGGCUUAAGUAAAUGCAUGGGGGGCUUAGAGGGGGGGUAAAGUGGGCAGCUGCACAUGCCAAUUUUUUUCAUUAUAUAUUUUUAUUUAAAAAUACAAAAUUAUAAUAAAGAUAAGGGCCUUUUUUUCUUGUUCAUCCUAGGCCUUUAGGAAUAUUUCAUUUUUCAGGACCGGCCUGAGUAAAUGCAUCGAUUCUCUUACAUAUCUAUCCAAUUCGCUCAAUUUAUUUUUUUCAUCUUUACAAUCAGGCAUGUAGUGGUAGUUCAUAAUUACAGACACUAAGGGAAAUUUUACUUUAGUAUCAUUGAAGUCUCUUUCAGCUUGAAGCUUCUAUAAUUUAAGCCACUUCUUUCCAUCUUGUGCUUUCAUUGAUUUUCAACAAUUGAAGCUCGGAUCUACAUGAAAUUUGUGCUCCAGUCAAGGGGAGAUCUGGAUAGAUGCUUCUGAGCCCUAUCUUUCGACUUGAGGAUUGUCUAUUACUUUUCACUUUAUAAUUUUGUUGUCUGCUACCCUCUUUGUCCAACAAGUGUUCGAACUGGAUUUCUAACCUUCUGUAUCGAUGAAGCACCUCAACCAUGUAGAAUACUGAAAGUUCCAUUUAUAUAAAGUAUGUUUCUGUUAUUAAUUUGUAUGUAGUAAUUCUUUGUUCAUCUAUUUUAGGGCUUUUUUAUAUAGGGAGACCACCAACACAGGAAGCAAGAAUCAAUGAUGACUAAUGACACCUUCAGAACAAAAUGGAGGUGUAUCCUUCCCUUUCUUUCUCUAUACUCUGUCAUCUCUGAUAUAAUUUCUUAUCAUCACCACUAGAAAUCACCAGUAGAACAUCAAAGGAAGGUUGGAUAAUGGAAUGGUCUCUGACAUCUCCAGUAUUGAAGUACGAAAUUUGAUGUCGUGGUCGACUAUUUCCCGUAUAGUUAUGAAUGAGAAUAGCCUCUUGCUUUAUUAUAUGGGUAUGGUGAAGAAGUUCCAUGCUUUUCUGUUCCAGGAUGUGCACAAAUGUGAGAGCGAAGCUUCCGCACAUGAAUCCUACUCUCGAUCUAUUUAAAUCCAAAGGGGGUUCUUGAGCAAGAUUCACAUCAAACAAACUAGUUCCUAAGUGUUUUAUGAUUUUAUCUGAUGAGAAAUCAAAAGUAAGGAAUUCAGAUUUGCUGCCAGACCCGAAUUCAAGUUCAUUUUUAGAACCUAUUGAGGUAUGUUGUUUUCUCCUACGAAUAUAGUUAAAAUGGUAAUUUGUAUUAUAUAUUCUAUUCUUUUGUGGAGAUAUGCACAAUACAUAGUUGAUUCUUUGGGCACUCAGCAACUCAAACCAUGCUCAACAGCCUGCUACACAAACUAUCAUAUUUCAUGUUCAGGCAAUCAUAUGGAAGCCAUACGCUAAGUUGGGGCCAUGCUAUAGCGUUGGAGGAAGAAGCUCAACCUGUAAAUUGAGAUAGCAGCAUGUGAUUUCUGUAGUUGGAAUUGGAUUUGAAAAGACUCAAAUUUCUGCCAUCUUUGAGCAUUGUUUAUUUUUUGUUGUUACAUUGACUUUUAGAUUAUAGAUAAUUCUCAUUUUUAA